CAACUCGCCUACACGAAGCUGGAAUCGCUAGUAAUCGCGGAUCAGCACGCCGCGGUGAAUACGUUCCCGGGCCUUGUACACACCGCCCGUCACACCAUGAGAGUCUGUAACACCCAAAGCCGGUGGGAUAACCUUUAUAGGAGUCAGCCGUCUAAGGUAGGACAGAUGAUUAAGGUGAAGUCGUAACAAGGUACC
rnacentral:rRNA from 1 species